AAAGGAAUAGACGGGGACCCGCACAAGCAGCGGAGCAUGUGGUUUAAUUCGACGCAACGCGAAGAACCUUACCAAGGUUUGACAUGUUAGAGCAUAGCUAUGAAAGUAGUGAAAUCUAAGGAGCAAUCCAAGGACUCUAACACAGAUGGUGCAUGGUUGUCGUCAGCUCGUGUCGUGAGAUGUUGGGUUAAGUCCCGCAACGAGCGCAACCCCUGUUUCUAGUUGCCAUCAUUAAGUUGGGCACUCUAGAGAGACUGCCGUAGAUAAUACGGAGGAAGGUGGGGAUGAUGUCAAAUCAUCAUGCCUCUUACACCUUGGGCUACACACGUGCUACAAUGGACGAUACAAAGUGAAGCGAAGUAGUAAUAUGAAGCAAAGCACAAAAAUUCGUUCUCAAUUCGGAUUGUGGGCUGCAACCCGCCCACAUGAAGACGGAGUUGCUAGUAAUCCCGGAUCAGCACGCCGGGGUGAAUGCGUUCUCGGGUCUUGUACACACCGCCCGU
rnacentral:rRNA from 1 species